rnacentral:rRNA from 1 species
CCUACAGGAGGCAGCAGUGGGGAAUAUUGGACAAUGGGGGCAACCCUGAUCCAGCCAUGCCGCGUGUGUGAAGAAGGCCCUCGGGUUGUAAAGCACUUUCAGUGAGGAAGAACGCCUGGUGGUUAAUACCCAUCAGGAAAGACAUCACUCACAGAAGAAGCACCGGCUAACUCCGUGCCAGCAGCCGCGGUAAUACGGAGGGUGCGAGCGUUAAUCGGAAUUACUGGGCGUAAAGCGCGCGUAGGUGGCUUGAUAAGCCGGUUGUGAAAGCCCCGGGCUCAACCUGGGAACGGCAUCCGGAACUGUCAAGCUAGAGUGCAGGAGAGGAAGGUAGAAUUCCCGGUGUAGCGGUGAAAUGCGUAGAGAUCGGGAGGAAUACCAGUGGCGAAGGCGGCCUUCUGGACUGACACUGACACUGAGGUGCGAAAGCGUGGGUAGCAAACAGGAUUAGAUACCCCGGUAGUC